GGGGCUAUAGCUCAAUGGUUAGAGCAGGGCACUUUUAAUGUCCCUAUCAGUGUUCGACUCACUGUGGCCUCA
rnacentral:tRNA from 1 species